ACUUACAAGCUGUGAAAGCACAUUUCUUGUGUGACCGCGUACUUUUUGUAGAGCGGGCAAACGAGUUACGUUAAGUAGCAAGGUUAAGCACUUAAGGUGUAGAGCCGUAGCGAAAGCGAGUUUUAACUGAGCGUUCAGUUACUUGACGUAGACCCGAAACCGGGCGACCUACCCAUGAGCAGGAUGAAGCGAAAGUAAAAUUUCGUGAAGGGCCGAACCCACG
rnacentral:rRNA from 1 species